CCAGAGGAGCAUGCGCACAGCGACUCCGCCGUUGCCACGGAUGCUGCCACAGGACACAGAACCAUGCCACGUCCAAAGGACCCACCCACACAUGCAACACAAUGCGGCGCUCCACCAUGGAUCACCGAACCAAACCACCGCUAUCACCACCGCCACCAGAAACCAGCAGAGUGCUCCGAACAAUCAGCACAACGCAAAUGGCUGAUAAUGAUAGCCUAAUGCUAUACAGCAUCUGUUUCGCUGAACUACCGCACCCAGCGAGCUACAAGUUACUCUCCGCCAACUAACACCGACACAGUGAGACUGUAUAUUGCACAGGUAACUAACCUAGUACAACCAUCCGGAAACAUUCUGUGUCGGUGCGCAGCGGUAAUCACUCUGGUAAUUGCGAGGCUUAGAGACAGAACCCUGGCAGUUAAAAUGGUGCAGCAGGAAUGCAAAGAGGAGGUGAUUGAUGAAAACUGUCUAGCAACGGAUGCUGAACAACACUGUCAACAUGGACCCACAACACUGAGAGAAAAGGAGGCAGAGUAAACAGGAGGAGAACAGAGAGGGCGACUGAGGGGUGGAGGGGUGGAGGUGUGGGUGAGAGAAUGCACAGCACUUCUAUUUCAGGCAUUGACCACCUGAUAACAACAGUGCUGAGUUGAUGUAAAUAUAUGGACGUCAUUUGUACCAGAGCAUGAGAGACAGAUUCACCUCUGUACUAUAUAGGCAGAAGGUGGUGCUCAGGGUUAAUGGCUGUCGAGCCUGUUGUGGGCUAGUAUUUCCAUAGAAGAUGGAAAGCUAAGGCUUGUUUACUGAAAAACAACAAGCCCAUGGGAUUUUAUUUAUGGAUCAAAUGCAAUAUAUCUCAGUUGUUUCUAGAUAGCAGUGUCCCUGCUUUAUUUUUCUAUUCAGAAGAACAUUAAAAGAAUGUAUCCACCCAGUUGAUGUGUGUCCAGGCCCUGAAAUAGAUAUAAAGCAAUAAGAAGGUCUGGUAGCUGGGUGUAAGGAACUAGAUCUACAUAGUAACAUGUCUAUUAUCAAUUACAACAUGAGUAAAGGACAACUACAGUAAUGUGUACAUAUAUAGAGAAACACGCACACUGCAGAAUGACAUCUCAAGGCCAGUGGUCACACCAUUAUGGGAGAAAGAAGAAGAGGUAGAGAGGCAUGGGAAAGAGUUGAUGCAUGUGUUAAACUCUUAAAUAAACAUUGUUUAUCAA